CCUUCGAUAGCUCAGUUGGUAGAGCGGUGGACUGUAGAUGUGCGUUUCCCUUCGGGGAACGAUUGCAAUAGUAAUCCAUAGGUCGCUGGUUCAAAUCCGGCUCGAAGGA
rnacentral:tRNA from 2 species